UUGCUGACGAGUGGCGGACGGGUGAGUAAUGCUUGGGAAUCUGGCUUAUGGAGGGGGAUAACGACGGGAAACUGUCGCUAAUACCGCGUAGAAUCGAGAGAUGAAAGUGCGGGACCGCAAGGCCGCAUGCCAUAGGAUGAGCCCAAGUGGGAUUAGGUAGUUGGUGGGGUAAAGGCCUACCAAGCCGACGAUCUCUAGCUGGUCUGAGAGGAUGACCAGCCACACCGGGACUGAGACACGGCCCGGACUCC
rnacentral:rRNA from 1 species